GCUCUUCUGAUCUGUUUAUUUUUGCUUUUCUUGCCCUUGUGUGAGGAAAGUGACCCCAAAAUAUAUUGCUAAGAUCAGUGUCAGGGAAGUUACCGCCUAUGUUUACUUCUAGAACUUUCA